GAUGAAGAACGUAGCGAAAUGCGAUAAGUAAUGUGAAUUGCAGAAUUCAGUGAAUCAUCGAAUCUUUGAACGCGUCUUGCGCUCCUUGGUAUUCUGAGGAGCAUGCCUGUUUGAGUGUCAUUAAAUUCUCAACCGCACUGACUUUGAAUUGGUGUGGCUUGGAUUUGGGGGGAAAAUUGUUGUGGGCUUUUUUGUAUAGUCUGCUCCCCUGAAAUUGAUUAGCGGUACCUUUGUGGAACUGUCUACAGGUGUGAUAAUUAUCUACAUCCUAGACAUCUGCUGGAAUGCUGCUUUCUAAACCUUACUUGUAUUGACAAUCUUGACCUCAAAUCAGGUAGGACUACCCGCUGAACUUAAGCAUAUCAAUAAGCGGAGGA
rnacentral:misc_RNA from 1 species